AUGAACGCUGGCGGCGUGCCUAAUACAUGCAAGUCGAGCGAACAGACGAGGAGCUUGCUCCUCUGACGUUAGCGGCGGACGGGUGAGUAACACGUGGAUAACCUACCUAUAAGACUGGGAUAACUUCGGGAAACCGGAGCUAAUACCGGAUAAUAUAUUGAACCGCAUGGUUCAAUAGUGAAAGACGGUUUUGCUGUCACUUAUAGAUGGAUCCGCGCCGCAUUAGCUAGUUGGUAAGGUAACGGCUUACCAAGGCAACGAUGCGUAGCCGACCUGAGGGGGUGAUCGGCCACACUGGAACUGAGACACGGUCCAGACUCCUACGGGAGGCAGCAGUAGGGAAUCUUCCGCAAAGGGCGAAAGCCUGACGGAGCAACGCCGCGUGAGUGAUGAAGGUCUUCGGAUCGUAAAACUCUGUUAUUAGGGAAGAACAAAUGUGUAAGUAACUAUGCACGUCUUGACGGUACCUAAUCAGAAAGCCACGGCUAACUACGUG
rnacentral:rRNA from 1 species